UACGUAGGUGGCAAGCGUUGUCCGGAUUUAUUGGGCGUAAAGCGCGCGCAGGUGGUUCGUCGCGUCCGAGGUGAAAUCUCCGGCUCAACCCGGGAUAGGUCCUUCGGAUACGGGCGGACUCGGAGGAGAGCAGAGGUAGGCGGAAUUCUGGGUGUAGUGGUGAAAAUGCGUAGAUAUCUAGAGGAACACCAGUGGCGAAGGCGGCCUACUGGGCUCCACCUGACACUGAGGCGCGAAAGCGUGGGGAGCGAACCGG
rnacentral:rRNA from 1 species